rnacentral:rRNA from 1 species
AUGGCCGUCACCGAAAGGUCUUUCCAUGUGAGAAAUACCUCCGUAGUACCGGGCUCUACAUUGUCUACCACCCCACUAGCCGGCGGCUCGGAGUCGGAGAGACAACGCGGGAAGAAGAUGGGGCUGGACGGCCACGUCGACCAUCCGCGCCAUGAAACCAUGGCGGUGCUCGACGACGUCGUCGACCGGAGUGGCUUGGUAGGGCUCGGCGUCGGAGCCCAUCUCGGCAGCGGUGACGCUAAAUGA